AGUGCCCUGGGUUGAAGGAUUCUUGGUGAGUUAAAGACCCAUUAUUGUCUUUGGCUGUAAAUGAACUCAAGGUCACUAGGAAGUGAGUGGAAAGUCAGAUGAAUUCUGUCUGUCGGAGGCAGGCCAAGGGCAAAGAAGGCACAGAAGCCACUUCAAAACUUUCAGGCCUUUUGGGAGGAAGGGGUGGGUAUGGAAUGAGGCUGACUUUCAAAGAUGAAGCUGUGACAGAUCAGAAAUCUGUAUUUUUGAGCCAGACUAUGUCUGUGUCUAGAUUUGCCUUUGUCUUUUUGUUGUCAGAAUUUCAUUAAACUAAUUAUUCAUUC
rnacentral:lncRNA from 1 species